rnacentral:rRNA from 1 species
GAUGAACGCUAGCGGCAGGCCUAACACAUGCAAGUCGAGGGAGGAGCCUUCGGGCUUCGACCGGCGUACGGGUGCGUAACGCGUAUACAAUCUGCCUUUCACAUAGAGAUAGCCCGAAGAAAUUUGGAUUAAUACCUAAUGGUAUAUAGAUGUGGCAUCACCUUUAUAUUAAAGCUGAGGCGGUGAAAGAUGAGUAUGCGUUCUAUUAGCUAGUUGGAGAGGUAACGGCUCCCCAAGGCGACGAUAGAUAGGGGUUCUGAGAGGGAUAUCCCCCACACUGGUACUGAGAUACGGACCAGACUCCUACGGGGGGCAGCAGUGAGGAAUAUUGGACAAUGGUCGGAAGACUGAUCCAGCCAUGCCGCGUGCAGGAAGACGGCCUUAUGGGUUGUAAACUGCUUUUGCAGGGGAAGAAUAAGGACUACGCGUAGUUUGAUGACGGUACUCUGCGAAUAAGCAUCGGCUAACUCCGUG